CCUACGGGAGGCAGCAGUGGGGAAUUUUGGACAAUGGACGCAAGUCUGAUCCAGCAAUGCCGCGUGCAGGAUGAAGGCCUUCGGGUUGUAAACUGCUUUUGUACGGAACGAAAAGGUCUGCCCUAAUACGGUGGGCCCAUGACGGUACCGUAAGAAUAAGCACCGGCUAACUACGUGCCAGCAGCCGCGGUAAUACGUAGGGUGCAAGCGUUAAUCGGAAUUACUGGGCGUAAAGCGUGCGCAGGCGGUUAUAUAAGACAGAUGUGAAAUCCCCGGGCUCAACCUGGGACCUGCAUUUGUGACUGUAUAGCUAGAGUACGGUAGAGGGGGAUGGAAUUCCGCGUGUAGCAGUGAAAUGCGUAGAUAUGCGGAGGAACACCGAUGGCGAAGGCAAUCCCCUGGACCUGUACUGACGCUCAUGCACGAAAGCGUGGGGAGCAAACAGGAUUAGAUACCCUGGUAGUCCACGCCCUAAACGAUGUCAACUGGUUGUUGGAUCUUUACUGAUUCUAGUAACGAAGACUACGCGUGAGUUAGACCGCCGUGGGAGGUACGGCCGCGAGGUUAGUAAACGUUAAAGGUAAAGUUAGUACGGCGUGAGACGUAGACCGACGGACGACGACGAGGGAGGAGG
rnacentral:rRNA from 1 species